AUGCAGUCGAACGAGAAAUCGGGCACUCAGGCAACUGAGUGCCGGAGAGUAAAGUGGCGCACGGGUGAGUAACACGUGGGUAACCUACCCCCGAAUCCGGGAUAACCUCGCGAAAGCGUUGCUAAUACCGGAUAUUGUCCUUUUGGUUGUGACCUUUGGGAUGAAAGGCAACCUCUUCAUGAAAGUUGUCGUUCAGGGAUGGGCCCGCGUACCAUUAGCUUGUUGGUGGGGUAACGGCUCACCAAGGCUAGGAUGGUUAGCUGGUCUGAGAGGAUGAUCAGCCACACUGGAACUGAAACACGGUCCAGACUCCUACGGGAGGCAGCAGUGAGGAAUUUUGCGCAAUGGGGGAAACCCUGACGCAGCAACGCUGCGUGAGUGAAGAAGGCUUUCGGGUCGUAAAGCUCUGUCAAGUGGGAAAAAAGUCUGAUGAUUAAUAGUUGUCAGAUCUGAUGGUACCACUGGAGGAAGCACCGGCUAACUCCGUGCCAGCAGCCGCGGUAAUACGGAGGGUGCAAGCGUUGUUCGGAAUUACUGGGCGUAAAGGGCGUGCAGGCGGGUUGGUAAGUCAGAUGUGAAAGCCCUGGGCUUAACCCAGGAAGUGCAUUUGAAACUGCCAUCCUAGAGUAUGGGAGAGGAGAGUGGAAUUCCCAAUGUAGAGGUGAAAUUCGUAGAUAUUGGGAGGAACACCCGUGGCGAAGGCGACUCUCUGGACCAAUACUGACGCUGAGACGCGAAAGCGUGGGGAGCAAACAGGAUUAGAUACCCUGGUAGUCCACGCUGUAAACGAUGAGAACUAGGUGUAGCGGGUAUUGACCCCUGCUGUGCCGAAGUUAACGCAUUAAGUUCUCCGCCUGGGGAGUACGGCCGCAAGGCUAAAACUCAAAGGAAUUGACGGG
rnacentral:rRNA from 1 species